AAACUGGAGGUCAUCAAUUGUGUCGACUGCAGAAGACACCUCCUGAUCUGCAAAGGCCCCAUUCUCUGCCCAGAUGGGAUUCAGUGGACUUUCCUGUGGGCCACAAGCCUCAGUAUCAUUCUGCCCCCAGCAGUCAUAGCUGGAGGUGGAUGUUACAUUUUCUUGCAU